CGGGGCUUAAUGUCUUGUAAUUGGAAUGAUGGGAAUUUAAACCUCUUCCAGAGUAUCAAUUGGAGGGCAAGUCUGGUGCCAGCAGCCGCGGUAAUUCCAGCUCCAAUAGCGUAUAUUAAAAUUGUUGCAGUUAAAAAGCUCGUAGUUGAAUUUCUGCUGCAUUUCAUUUCUCUUUCUGAGUUUGUUUUUGCGGCUUAUUUCGGUUUGAUUUUUUCUUUCCGGAUGAUUACUUUGAGAAAAUUAGAGUGCUCAAAGCAGGCUUUUGCCUUGAAUAGUUUAGCAUGGAAUAAUAAAGUAGGACUUUGGUUCUAUUUUGUUGGUUUUAGGUACCAAAGUAAUGGUUAAUAGGAACAGUUGGGGGCAUUCGUAUUUAACUGUCAGAGGUGAAAUUCUUAGAUUUGUUAAAGACGAACUACUGCGAAAGCAUUUGCCAAGGAUGUUUUCAUUAAUCAAGAAC
rnacentral:rRNA from 1 species